UACGUAGGUGGCAAGCGUUACUCGGAAUCACUAGGCGUAAAGCGCGGGUAGGCGGUUCGAUAAGUCUCUUGUGAAAGCUCCUGGCUUAACUGGGAGAGGUCAAGGGAAACUGUCGGGCUCGAGUGUGGCAGAGGAAGCUGGAAUUCCCGGUGUAGCGGUGAAAUGCGUAGAGAUCGGGAGGAAUACCUAUGGCGAAAGCAGGCUUCUGGGCCAUCACUGACGCUGAUCCGCGAAAGCUAGGGGAGCAAACAGGG
rnacentral:rRNA from 1 species